rnacentral:rRNA from 1 species
UACGUAGGCAGCGAGCGUUGUUCGGAGUUACUGGGCGUAAAGCGUGCGUAGGCGGUGCCCUAAGUCUGGUGUGAAAUCUCCCGGCUCAACUGGGAGGGUGCGCCGGAGACUGGGGUGCUGGAGUGUGGGAGAGGUAAGCGGAAUUCCUGGUGUAGCGGUGAAAUGCGUAGAUAUCAGGAGGAACACCUGCGGUGUAGACGGCUUACUGGACCACGACUGACGCUGAGGCACGAAAGCGUGGGGAGCAAACAGG